UGGGGAAUAUUGCACAAUGGGGGAAACCCUGAUGCAGCGACGCCGCGUGAGCGAAGAAGUAUUUCGGUAUGUAAAGCUCUAUCAGCAGGGAAGAAAACGACGGUACCUGACUAAGAAGCCCCGGCUAACUACGUGCC
rnacentral:rRNA from 1 species